UACGGAGGGUGCGAGCGUUGUCCGGAAUCACUGGGCGUAAAGGGCGCGUAGGUGGCCUGUGGAAGUCUGCGGUGAAAGCCCGGCGCUCAACGCCGGGUCGGCUGUGGAUACUCUCGGGCUUGAGCUUACUAGAGGCAGAUGGAAUUCCGGGUGUAGCGGUGGAAUGCGUAGAGAUCCGGAAGAACACCGGUGGCGAAGGCGGUCUGCUGGGGUAAUGCUGACACUGAUGCGCGACAGCGUGGGGAGCAAACAGG
rnacentral:rRNA from 1 species